rnacentral:rRNA from 1 species
UGCUCAGGAUGAACGCUGGCUGCGUGCUUAACACAUGCAAGUCGAACGAUGACGACCGGGCUUGCCUGGUCUGAUUAGUGGCGAACGGGUGAGUAACACGUGAGUAACCUGCCCCUCACUUCGGGAUAACCUCGAGAAAUUGUGGCUAAUACCGGAUAUGAACUUCCGCCGCAUGGGGGUUGUUGGAAAGUUUUUCGGUGAGGGAUGGACUCGCGGCCUAUCAGUUUGUUGGUGAGGUAAUGGCUCACCAAGACGAUGACGGGUAGCCGGCCUGAGAGGGCGACCGGCCACACUGGGACUGAGACACGGCCCAGACUCCUACGGGAGGCAGCAGUGGGGAAUAUUGCACAAUGGGCGAAAGCCUGAUGCAGCGACGCAGCGUGGGGGAUGACUGCCUUCGGGUUGUAAACCUCUUUCAGUAGGGAAGAAGCGAAAGUGACGGUACCUGCAGAAGAAGCGCCGGCUAACUACGUGCC